GCGGUCAUGGCGGAAUCGGCAGACGCGCACGUUUAAGGGGCGUGUGGGCAACCGUGUGGGUUCAAGUCCCACUGACCGCACCA
rnacentral:tRNA from 2 species